GGGAAUUUUCCGCAAUGGGCGAAAGCCUGACGGAGUGACGCCGCGUGGGGGACGAAGGCCUUCGGGUUGUAAACCCCUGUCAGAGGGAAAGAAGGGUGUCGGCGCGAUAACCGCCGGCUCUUGACGGUACCGGGUGAGGAAGCCCCGGCUAAUUCUGUGCCAGCAGCCGCGGUAAUACAGAGGGGGCAAGCGUUGUUCGGAAUUACUGGGCGUAAAGGGCGCGUAGGCGGCCUGUUAAGUCGAACGUGAAAUCCCCGAGCUCAACUCGGGAACUGCGUCCGAUACUGGCAGGCUUGAAUCCGGGAGAGGGAUGUGGAAUUCCAGGUGUAGCGGUGAAAUGCGUAGAUAUCUGGAGGAACACCGGUGGCGAAGGCGGCAUCCUGGACCGGUAUUGACGCUGAGGCGCGAAAGCCAGGGGAGCAAA
rnacentral:rRNA from 1 species